rnacentral:piRNA from 1 species
UUCCUACACAUCUGAAUGAAUGCCAGUGA